GCCGAGCUAGGUAGCGCUAGCUUGUAACCCUAGCGGGAGCAUUAAGGUGAUUGAACUUGUACUGUUAGACCGAGUGUGGUGCUUAUCCUUGCCGGAAGGUCUCCUUU
rnacentral:SRP_RNA from 1 species